GGAUAAAUCAAGUUGUGGGUACAAAAUUCGAAUUACAUUCCGACAAAAGCUAUAGCUGGAAUGACGCCUGAUAGUAAAGAUCGUGUGGAUCAUUGAUUGAGAACUAUCCAUUAGCUGCUCAUGAGAUCGAAAAUAAGAAGCUCUUUCGGCUCCUGUCAGAGAUCGACCUUCUGAUUUUUGCUCUUUCGAUCGAGAUCUUUCAUCAUG
rnacentral:lncRNA from 1 species